AUAUUUGGCUUUGGUUUUGGAACGAGAUUCCUUAAUGGCUACACUUGUGAGACUCUGUUAAUUGAUAUAAAAUUGUAUUCAAAAUUAAAUUUGUUUUAACUGAUCUAAAUCACCCCAAUAAAUCAGCUUCAGCCUGUCUGCGUUAAGGGUUCAAGUAUGCCUUUCUUUUUUUUUUGCUUUUGGGAGAAAGUGUGUGCUUGCAAUCAAUGCAUAGAGGGCUGCAUCUGACCCUCCCCUCAUUUACUAACCGCUUCCAUAUGCUGACGUGGUGGUGAUUUUGCUGGCCUGUGAAGGCAUAAAGGAGGGGUAGGGGUACUGUUCUCAGCUAUUCAGCUUUCUUGCCAGGCACUUGAGGGAACCCAGUAUGGUAGUUGGGAGUUUAGCUGGUUUUAACUCACAGCCUCAGUUAUGGUACAGCCACUGUGUAAGAGGAGUUGGCUCUACAUUCCAACCUGGAAACUGGGGGGAGAGCUAGCAAAAAGGAGCUCAGAAGAUGUAUCUGACAACCUACAACUUCCAGAACUCCCCUAAUAAAGGAGGAUGUGCAAAUGUAACUUAACAAGUGGCCAGCUACUAAUGAUAAGCAGGUGCUAAAACAUGUUAGCAGUAUUUCCGGCAUUAAUACUUUGUCUCUUUAAAGCAACCAUCAGGACGAUGUGUCAUCUUAAUUACAGUAUCUGGGAGCAAGGAGUUUACUAGUAUGUGUGUAACUUGUUAAUAAAAGCUUCUGCACUGGGGAUUUCAGCUCCCUGUGUACCAGCAGCAGUCUAAACACAGCUGUAGACUCGCAAAAUCACCAUGAUAUAUAAUUUACACUGGGUCAAGUUACCCUUUGUGGAAAGUAGGUGAGCUGGACAAGUGUUAAACAGGGCUUCAGCUUCACUGUUGUCAAUGGUUAUAAUGGGGAGUUUUUUCCCCAGAAUGGACAAGGCUUAACAAAUCACUGCACAGUUACAUGUUCUAAUGUCUUUGGGUGGUCAGACCAACUUUGCAUGAGCUAAAUCAGAAGUGAGUUAAAAGAUAUUAGGAGAAUACAAGAGUUAAAAUGUUGGCUUGAUCGUCUGGAAUUAUUUUGAUUCCAGAAAGAUUUUAAAGAGAAAGGCAGAACUGGAAGCUAGAUGAAAGGAAAACAGGGGAGAUUGAAAUGUAUUACUCGCUAUUAGAACUUAAUUUCACUUCUGCAAAGGAAGCAAGGAACCUCAUUUUAUGAGGGGAUUGUGAGGGCCUUUGCAAGGGGCUGUAUUGAAUUUCAGAAAGCAUUUUACAAGAAGGAAGCCUGCCACAAUCUUGUGCUAUAGGACUUCCUUUGGAAGCAUAUAUUUCUUCCCCAUAAGUCUUUUGAACAGUUUUAUACUGCACAUGUUUCAAGAGAAUUAAAUCAAUAACAAUCUGUACCUUUCUAACCUGAAAUGCAAGCUCUGCAUGGCAGGAGAUCAAGCUAUGCAAUUAACUGUUGUCCUUUCAAAGGAAUUCUGACAGAUAUUUAUAGUUUACUGUAUUCCUUUUUCCUGCCAUUGGAAUAUAACAGUACAACUGAAUGCAGCUGACUGGAACUAUGAAAUAAUUAUAGCAAUAACUAUUUCCUUCUCUACUGGGGAAAUCUUGUAAAGUGCUGAAUGUGGGAACUGCUGAUGUUCUUACCCCUCAGAAUUCGGUCCUUGCCUCAAGUUUAUCAUGCAUCCCCUGAUAAGU